rnacentral:rRNA from 1 species
AUUGAACGCUGGCGACAUGCCUUACACAUGCAGGUCGAACGGCAGCACGGGUGCUUGCACCUGGUGGCGAGUGGCGAACGGGUGAGUAAUACAUCGGAACAUGUCCUGUAGUGGGGGAUAGCCCGGCGAAAGCCGGAUUAAUACCGCAUACGAUCUACGGAUGAAAGCGGGGGACCUUCGGGCCUCGCGCUAUAGGGUUGGCCGAUGGCUGAUUAGCUAGUUGGUGGGGUAAAGGCCUACCAAGGCGACGAUCAGUAGCUGGUCUGAGAGGACGACCAGCCACACUGGGACUAAGACACGGCCCAGACUCCUACGGGAGGCAGCAGUGGGGAAUUUUGGACAAUGGGCGAAAGCCUGAUCCAGCAAUGCCGCGUGUGUGAAGAAGGCCUUCGGGUUGUAAAGCACUUUUGUCCGGAAAGAAAUCCUUGGCCCUAAUACGGUCGGGGGAUGACGGUACCGGAAGAAUAAGCACCGGCUAACUACGUG